GCCUGGCAGGCUCAGUGGGCAGAGCUUGAGACUCUUGAUCUCGGGGUUGUGAGUUCGAGCCCCACGUUUGGUG
rnacentral:tRNA from 1 species